rnacentral:lncRNA from 1 species
AUAAACUUCAACUUAAUUAAACUAACUUUUUGGAAGCAGCUACUAAGGGCCAGGUUGUAUGAGAGGAGCCAGGUACAUAAAAAGGGACAAGGGUCAUAGCCGCAAGGAGAUCACACUGUAUGGUGAGACAUAUGCUCCUUUGAUCGAUCAGCUGAGAAUUCUCCAUUUUCAUUUUUAUCCAGAUCAGCUCUGCACAGAGGCCUUCUCUACAUACCCAAUACAAAUGAAAUGCUUGAGCAGUCUCACCUACGUUCUGCAAUUUGACUUCCAUGCAUAGCGCCUGGUUGUUUGCCUUGAACAUUCGUCAGAAUCACCCAGAGAACUGUUACAACCCAGAUUCCUGCGUCCACCCCUAGAGUUUCUGAUUCAGCAAGUCUAGGGCAGAAGCUGAGAAUUUGCAUUUCUAACAAGUUCCCAGGUGAUGCUGACACUGUUAAUCUGGGAUCACUCUUUGAGAAUCAUCGGCACUGUCUCACUACCUGAUGAUAUUUUCCUCAUCACUCUUUUCUGUAGUGUCAUCCGCACUCCACUGGAGUGUCUGUUCUAUGAAAGCAGGGAGUUUGUAUGUUCUGUUCACCCUGUAUCUCUAGUGCAUGAUACAUAGUAGGUGCUCUUUAAUAUUUGUUGAAUGAAGAAUGGAGUAAUUAGUAGCUAAUCCUUUUCAUUGUAGAUUUUGGAUCAUCUGCAUUUGGUUUAAUCUAAUUUUGCAAGAACUUUGCUUUCCAUCCUGUGCAUAUAUGUAACAGCCGUGAGAGACUAUUCAUUAGACACAAUUUAACUUACAAAAAUGUAAGCCACACACAGAGUUGACAUCUGUUAUUGACGGUAUGUUUUAGGUUGUGAACUUCAUUAGUUGUCCUUCUACUUGAGGAUAGAGAUUCUAUCCAACACCAUAUUUAGAAAAUAGCCCCUUCUUUUUAACAACACAAACUCAGUGGCAUUCUCUUUAAAUUGGGGGCAACAUCCUCUUACACACAACACUGAAAGCGGAAAAGUAAACAAUUCGAUACAUUCAUACAGUCGUUCUUUCAUACUCUGCAGAGUAACAUUUCUCAUACAUCACAAUUAAAUACAUCAUCAUAAGGUUUAACUAAUCACUAUGAAUACAUCUCAGUAACAACCAGGUCCCUGUAGUGCUAGUAAGAUUAUACUUCACCUAUCGAUCCAUUGAGCUUGCCUCUAAGGAGCCUUAACAAGUCACAUGUUUUCCUGAAAUUACUGAAGAAACCAGUUCACUGUGCAGUGCCUCAAUCACCCCUCCAUUUGCAGAUUCUGGAAUAUCCACAUGUAUGAGUCCACAGAUAACUGUGUUUAUCUGCUUCUCCUGCUACCUAAACACUGUCAUAGCCAUUGCUACCUCUACCUCCUCCCCUUCCUAGCUAGUUCCUCCUGGUGGGUCUCCUGCCCACAUCUGGCUCUCUGACCCCACCAGACUCUGAAUCUCCUCUUCCCUGUGAGACAUUUGUUUUCAUCUUUUUAAUGCUGAGGCAGAAACCCUCCCUGCAUAACAAGGGGCCAGAAUCAAAGUCCAGGCUUGCAACCUACAAAUCUACUGCUAAAUUCGCUCUAAAGUUGGCCACUGGGAGAAGCACCUGGGGAGGAAGGAUGAGGCAUAGCCUUGCUAAUUAAGCCAGAUUCAAGGUGUCUGGAGUCUUGUGUAAGAUGCUGUAGUUAAAUGUCAAAGUCGAGGAGUCAGCUGGUAAAAUGACAAACCGUCCCUGUCAGAAUGCUGACAGGCAAAGGCGGCAGCAGUGGCUGGGGAGACGCCAGCUCUCUGUGGCUCACCUGUGUCACCUCCAUCCUUCCUGAACACUCGUGACCAGCGACCACAUUGAAGAAAGCAGACGGGCUUCCACCCGGCUACACUUGUAAGGGAUCCUUAAAAAUACUGACACAGAUGACAGUGAGGGUCUCAAAGGAGGUCUCAACACAAGCCAAGGGCUGAGACCAGAAUCAAACACAGUAUCAAUUCAAUAAAGCCUAUUUGAAGGCUUUGAAGAUCCAGUUUUGCUGUGUACCUAUAUAUUACAAAACACUGGCUCAAUUCUGAAUUGAAAGGCCUUACAAUGAAUGUUAUUUUAAAACACAUUGUUUCAGUUUUCAACAUAGAAAAAAAAAUCUAUUCUGGUGCAGGAAACUACAAAUGGCCAUUAAUUCUGGCUUUUGGUCCAUAAUUCCUUUCCUGUAUGGGACCCAUUUGCUCAUCUAACAGAAGCAUUUGACUGACUACUUAUUUUUGUCAUUUUUUUUACAAUAACAGCAAUCCUAUGAAGUAGAGCAGAUUUCAAGUAUUUGUUCCUCCAUUUUAUGGUGAUAACCUCAGAUUAAGAAAGAUCAAGUGACUUGCAUAGAUUACAGCUAUGAAGUGGUAUAGCCAGGACCCCAUUUAUCAAGCAGUCCAGCUACUGGCCAUCCGCAGCAUCUCAGACUGGUCUCUCCCCUCGGUUUCUUCAAUCAGGCAGUGCUCUCUGGCAUCUUUAUUCCUUGCCAGUGAGCCUGGGGUUGCUGCUUUCACACACAACUCACUGUCAGUGGCUACGACUCUUUUCGUUUACUUUCAGCUGCCAGAAAAGAUUCUUCUUCCAACCUCAAUGAUGUUGGUAACUUCAGCUUCCACUAAAAAUAUUUUUUCUACUGAAAAAGCUGUGGUGGUUUGUGUAGGGGAAACAAAAAUGUAGAUCUUAAUUGAAUAUCCUCUGUUCUGUAGGUUCAUUUAUUUGUGAUGAGAUGAACUUUCUUUUUCUUCACCCUGGCCCCAUCCACCUUAUCAUCUUUCUAGGGUAUGGCACAUACAAAGCUUGGUGCCAGAAGGAGAAUUUAGUGAUAAAAUUCAAUGUAGAAGAAAAAGAGAUGAAGACUAUUAGCAUCAUAACAAACAGAAACUGCCAUGGGAUCAAUGUUGGCAGUAUAAAAGAUCCAGUUGUCAGGAUCAAAACCUACCACAACCACCACUCAUUCUAGAGUGGAGCCAAAUGGAGCUGGAUGGUUGAGAAGCUGCUGCAGAGGCCAAGAAGAAUAAACAGGUCUGAAGCUGAAGACAAAAGGGGGCUACUCCAAAAUCUUAUUCUACCUAUGGACUCAGUUCAACUUGAGAAUAAAGGAUCAUUUAGGGUAUUCUCUUGAACUGCAUGUGCUUGAUUCCCAAAUGCUAAUUGCUUAAUAAUGGACUGGAUCACCAUCGCCUCCUAUAAACAGGGUCGUAGAUUGGGUCAUGCUACAAGCAUUGCCUUAUCAUCAACCAAGAACCAGGCAGUGACAUGAAUAAUAAUAUAUGGACUUUCCUUAAGAAACUCACAGUCCCAGGGACUUUUUGAAGAUAAUGACUAUGAUGGUUAAUUUUAUGUGUCAACAUGACUGAGCUAAUGCAUGCCCAGAUAGUUAGUAAAAUAUUAUUCCCAGGUGAGUCUAGGAGAGAUUAGCAUUUGAAUCAGUAAACUCAACAAAGAAGAUCAAUCUUCACUAUCCAAUCCAUUGAGGGCACGAAUGAACAAAGUGAUGGAGGAAGGGUGAAUUCUCUCUCUUUCUCUCUUCUUGAGCUGGGAUAUCCAUCUUCUCCUGGCAUUUGACAAUGGAGCUCCUGGUUCUUGGGCCUUCAGACUCCAGGACUUAUGUCCGCACCAACCACCCACCUCCCCACCCUCCAGGUUCUCAGGCCUUUGGACUUAAACUGAAUUACCCCACCAGCUACAAAUGGCAUAUCAAGGGUCUUCUCUUGCCUCACCAAGUGAGCCAGUCCUCAUAAUAAAUCACUUCUCAUAUCUCUCUUUACAUAUUCUACUGGUUUUAUUUCUCUGGAGAACUUUAAUAUAAUGACCAUGGACAUUUAAACUUUUAAAUGAGCUUAUUAUUAUCCUCUCAUAAAAUUUUCAAUGAAGGUAUUAAGACCUCAUCAAGACAAUGGAUACAGAUGUCUGCUGCAGUCAAACCAUAAAUGAAAAGCAAAAAUGAAACUUAGAGCAAAACCUUUGAGAACAAUGACCUCUGUCCCUCUGAGCACUGAAUAAUAACUAAUAUAUACCAUACUCAAUUUUUCAUAUACCCAAUUUCUUAUUUUAUAAUAAUAUGAAUACCUACAAGGUAAGUACUAUUACUAUUAUACCCAUUUCACAGAAGAAACUGAACAUCAGAAAACUUAAUAAACGAGCUCACUUUGCUUUUGCUUUUUCCUGAACUACUAAUCCCAGGCUAACACAACCCAGCAGGCGCCUGCCCUCUCUGGAUAGAACAGCUGCAAAUGCUAAGAAAUAUUAAAGCCUUUGUUUUAAUUAACUUGAGGAUUUUUCCAAUGUUCUGGCUUGGCAUGUGGUUAUUGAAUCUGGUUACUGAAUGUUUGGUAGUAGGCCAUUCUGCUUGCCAAUUCAAAUUUAUUCACACUGAAUAGCUUUUAUUUUAAAACAACAAAAUCACAAAUAAGGCACUAAAAAUACAGAGCCAAACUUUGCGAAUUUAAUGUCACAACCAAAUUCAGGUAUUUCUUAAGGAAAAAAUGUCAGUUGAGAACAGGAUGUAUAAAGACUUUAUUAAAUGCUACAUUUUCUAAUGCUGCUUUAAAUUUAUUUGUGUUGAAGUAAAUGAAGAUCAUUCUAAUAAAAAAUGAUAUUUUUACAGUUG